rnacentral:rRNA from 1 species
AUACGGAGGGUGCGAGCGUUAAUCGGAAUUACUGGGCGUAAAGCGUACGUAGGCGGUUGGUUAAGUUAGAUGUGAAAGCCCCGGGCUUAACCUGGGAACUGCAUUUAAAACUGGCGAACUAGAGUUGAGUAGAGGGGAGUGGAAUUUCAGGUGUAGCGGUGAAAUGCGUAGGGAUCUGAAGGAACACCAGUGGCGAAGGCGACUCCCUGGACUCGAACUGACGCUGAGGUACGAAAGCGUGGGUAGCAAACGGGAUUAGAAACCCUAGUAGUCC